UACAGAGGUCUCAAGCGUUGUUCGGAUUCAUUGGGCGUAAAGGGCGCGUAGGCUGCGGGGCAAGUCGGGUGUGAAAUCUCAGAGCUCAACUCUGAAACUGCACUCGAUACUGCUUUGCUUGAGGACUGGAGAGGAGAUUGGAAUUCACGGUGUAGCAGUGAAAUGCGUAGAUAUCGUGAGGAAGACCAGUGGCGAAGGCGGAUCUCUGGACAGUUCCUGACGCUGAGGCGCGAAGGCCCAGGGGAGCAAACGGGG
rnacentral:rRNA from 1 species